rnacentral:lncRNA from 1 species
AAAAUAUAGUUAAGGAAAACACUCUCCUGAAAAUAAUUAGAGAAAACCCCUUUUGUUGUUAGUUUGGAUAAUUAAUAAAGGUAAUCUCUCAAUUAUACCCUUACUUUUAACCCUAAAUUUUGACAUAUCAUAUUCCGCCGUUGUUAUUUCUUUUAUUUUCCUUUUCCCUCAUCUCUUCUCUCUGCUUUCUGCUCUCUUCUCUCGUUCUUUCUUCUCUCUCUCUCUCUUUUUUUUUUCUUCUCGAUCUGCUUCUUCUCUUCUCGAUCAUAAUUCGGCCGAUACUGUAAAAUACUGCUCCGAUGAAUAUUGUGUGAAGAACUGCUGCAACCAUCAUAAUUGGACAUAUUGGGGUGGAGCUCUGGCUGGCAACGACGAAGUUUCGGCUCGACGAUAUGAAGACCCCGUCAAACAAGCUGUUGCAGAUGCGGUUUGUUUUGUUAAAUCGAUUGAUUUGUUUUUAUUUUAAAUUCAUCAUCUCCAUUAAAAUUUUAUUUUGAAUACUCUGCAACAUAAAUUUUUGUGAGUAGAAACUGAUGGAGUAAUUAAUUACUGUUUGUUUUAUUAUAAUUUUAUCUGUCGAAGAAAUCACGUUUCCCAAACAACACGCAUACUAUUUGAGGAUUUUCUACAACAUCAUGAAUAGUGUGGUGUGGCGGCGGUGUGGUGACGAUGGGGAGGCAGAUUAAGGGUUUUUUGUUGAAUCGGGUGGAUAACAGCGCAUAUAGAGAAAUUCGCGCAUGCUGGAAUCUUAAUCGACUAUGUACAUGUUCAUUAAUAGUCGAUUAAGCUAAUCGACUAUGCUCUGGUAGUCGAUUAAGGUUGAUCAACUCCAAUUUUUUUUUUGAUUUUUUGUUUAUUGAUUCCAAUUGUAUAAAUCAAUUACAAUGUUGG